rnacentral:tRNA from 1 species
AUUUAAAUAGUUUAAUAAAAAUAUUGAUUUGUGAAAUUAUAUAAAUAUAUAAAAAUUUAUUUUAAAUU